UUUUAUGGAGAGUUUGAUCCUGGCUCAGGAUGAACGCUGGCGGCGUGCCUAAUACAUGCAAGUCGAGCGAACAGACGAGGAGCUUGCUCCUCUGACGUUAGCGGCGGACGGGUGAGUAACACGUGGAUAACCUACCUAUAAGACUGGGAUAACUUCGGGAAACCGGAGCUAAUACCGGAUAAUAUAUUGAACCGCAUGGUUCAAUAGUGAAAGACGGUUUUGCUGUCACUUAUAGAUGGAUCCGCGCCGCAUUAGCUAGUUGGUAAGGUAACGGCUUACCAAGGCAACGAUGCGUAGCCGACCUGAGAGGGUGAUCGGCCACACUGGAACUGAGACACGGUCCAGACUCCUACGGGAGGCAGCAGUAGGGAAUCUUCCGCAAUGGGCGAAAGCCUGACGGAGCAACGCCGCGUGAGUGAUGAAGGUCUUCGGAUCGUAAAACUCUGUUAUUAGGGAAGAACAAAUGUGUAAGUAACUAUGCACGUCUUGACGGUACCUAAUCAGAAAGCCACGGCUAACUACGUGCCAGCAGCCGCGGUAAUACGUAGGUGGCAAGCGUUAUCCGGAAUUAUUGGGCGUAAAGCGCGCGUAGGCGGUUUUUUAAGUCUGAUGUGAAAGCCCACGGCUCAACCGUGGAGGGUCAUUGGAAACUG
rnacentral:rRNA from 1 species